rnacentral:rRNA from 1 species
ACCGGCAGCUCAAGUGGUGGCCAUUUUUAUUGGGCCUAAAGCGUUCGUAGCCGGUUUGAUAAGUCUCUGGUGAAAUCCCGCAGCUUAACUGUGGGACUUGCUGGAGAUACUAUUAGACUUGAGGUCGGGAGAGGUUAGGGGUACUCCCAGGGUGGGGGCGAAAUCGUAUAAGCCUGGGAGGUCGAACUGGGGCGAAGGGGCCGAACUGGGACGAGCCUGCCGGGGAGUAUCCAUACCCAGUUGCGCGUUCCG